rnacentral:rRNA from 1 species
AACGAACGCUGGCGGCAUGCCUAACACAUGCAAGUCGAACGAGACCUUCGGGUCUAGUGGCGCACGGGUGCGUAACGCGUGGGAAUCUGCCCUUGGGUUCGGAAUAACUUCGGGAAACUGAAGCUAAUACCGGAUGAUGACGUAAGUCCAAAGAUUUAUCGCCCAAGGAUGAGCCCGCGUAGGAUUAGCUAGUUGGUGAGGUAAAGGCUCACCAAGGCGACGAUCCUUAGCUGGUCUGAGAGGAUGAUCAGCCACACUGGGACUGAGACACGGCCCAGACUCCUACGGGAGGCAGCAGUGGGGAAUAUUGGACAAUGGGCGAAAGCCUGAUCCAGCAAUGCCGCGUGAGUGAUGAAGGCCUUAGGGUUGUAAAGCUCUUUUACCAGGGAUGAUAAUGACAGUACCUGGAGAAUAAGCUCCGGCUAACUCCGUGCCAGCAGCCGCGGUAAUGUGACUACUG